CAGGGAGACAACAAAAUGUUUAAUAUUAUUAUUUUGUCACCUUAGGUCGAUCGGUAUCUCACGUUUUUAAUUUAUUAAGAAUUUCAUUUCCUAAGUUUUUCUAGGUCACACCCAUUAUUUUCCUGGGCCAUUAGCUCAGGUGGUUAGAGCGCACCCCUGAUAAGGGUGAGGUCCCUGGUUCAAGUCCAGGAUGGCCCAUAUCUCUAUGUUGGGGGUAUAGCUCAGUUGGUAGAGCGCCUGCUUUGCAAGCAGGAUGUCAGCGGUUCGAGUCCGCUUACCUCCACUGAUUACCACCUCUUCCAUAACCGGUAGAAAGGAAAUGUUUUGAGUUGUGAUCAAAUUCUGAAAGAAUCUAGCUUCCUAAUGAAAUCAUUAAGAUGCUGGACUCAUUGAAUUAAUUUCAUUGUUUUCAGAGAACCUUGACAACUGCAUAGAUUAUUUUUAAAGACAAUAAGCAUCUUUAAUGAUGCAGAUUUAUUAUUUGUGCGAAUGCAUUAAUAACAAUUCUAUUAAGCUGAUGCUUCAAUUUUUGAAGUUAUU
rnacentral:tRNA from 1 species